rnacentral:hammerhead_ribozyme from 1 species
AUCCAGCUGAAGAGUCUCGAAUAGGAUGAAACGCGCGUUCUGGAU